ACUGAACGCUGGCGGCAGGCCUAACACAUGCAAGUCGAGCGGAGCGGCGGACGGGGGAGUAAUGCCUAGGAAUCUGCCUGGUAGUGGGGGAUAACGCCCGGAAACGGGCGCCAAUACCGCAUACAAUCAGAUGAGUCUCGGUUGGAUCAGCUAGGUGGUGGGGUAAUGGCCUACCAAGGUGACGAGCCGUAACUGGUCUGAGAGGAUGAUCCGUCACACGGGAACUGAGACACGGUCCAGACUCCUACGGGAGGCAGCAGUGGGGAAUAUUGGGCAAUGGGCGAAAGCCUGAUCCAGCCAAGCCGCGUGUGUGAAGAAGGUCUUCGGAUUGUAAAGCACUUUAGGUUGGGAGGCGUUACCAACAGAGUAAGCACCGGCUAACUUCGUGCCAGCAGCCGCGGUAAUUC
rnacentral:rRNA from 1 species